rnacentral:rRNA from 1 species
GCAACUCGCCUACAUGAAGUCGGAAUUGCUAGUAANCGCGGAUCAGCAUGCCGCGGUGAAUACGUUCCCGGGCCUUGUACACACCGCCCGUCACACCAUGGGAGUCGGUAACACCCGAAGCCUGUAGUCUAACCGCAAGGAGGACGCAGUCGAAGGUGGGAUUGAUGACUGGGGUGAAGUCGUAACAAGGUAGC